rnacentral:rRNA from 1 species
AGCGUUGUUCGGAAUUACUGGGCGUAAAGGGCGCGUAGGCGGUAUAAUAAGUUAGGUGUGAAAUCUUCGGGCUUAACCCGGAAAGUGCACUUAAAACUGUUAUACUAGAGUUCGGGAGGGGAAAGCGGAAUUCCUAGUGUAGAGGUGAAAUUUGUAGAUAUUAGGAAGAACACCGGUGGCGAAGGCGGCUUUCUGGAGCGAUACUGACGCUGAGGCGCGAAAGCGUGGGGAGUAAACAGGAUUAGAUACCCUGGUAGUCCACGCUGUAAACGAUGAACACUAAGUAUAGGAAGAUUAUUCUUUCUGUGCUCAAGCUAACGCGUUAAGUGUUCCGCCUGGGGAGUACGGUCGCAAGAUUAAAACUCAAAGAAAUUGACGGGUGCCCGCACAAGCGGUGGAGCAUGUGGUUUAAUUCGACGCAACGCGAAGAACCUUACCUGGGUUUGACAUCCUCUGACAAUUAUAGAAAUAUAACUUUUUCAGCAAUGAAACAGAGAGACAGGUGCUGCAUGGCUGUCGUCAGCUCGUGUCGUGAGAUGUUGGGUUAAGUCCCGCAACGAGCGCAACCCUUAUCUUUAGUUACCAUCAUUCAGUUGGGCACUCUAGAGAAACUGCCGGUGAUAAAUCGGAUGAAGGUGGGGAUGACGUCAAGUCCUCAUGGCCUUUAUAUCCAGGGCUACACACGUGCUACAAUGGUUUGGACAAAGAGACGCAAGUUGGUGAAAACAAGCAAAUCUCAUAAACCAAAUCUCAGUUCGGAUUGAAGUCUGCAACUCGACUUCAUGAAGUCGGAAUCGCUAGUAAUCACAGAUCAGCAUGCUGCGGUGAA